rnacentral:snRNA from 1 species
GUGCUCACGCCAGCACACAUACCAAAAUUGGAACAAUACACAGAGGAUUAGCAUGGCCCCUGCACAAGGAUGACACGCAAAUUCGUGAAGUAAAUAUUAAAUUU